ACCGAUAGUGAACCAGUACCGUGAGGGAAAGGUGAAAAGAACCCCGGGAGGGGAGUGAAAUAGAACAUGAAACCGUAAGUUUACAAGCAGUAGAAGAGCGACUUAACGCUCGACUUCGUGCCUGUUGAAGAAUGAGCUGGCGACUUGUAGGUUGUGGCAAGGUUAAGGUAAGAAAAUACUGGAGCCAGAGUGAAAGCGAGCUUGAUAAGAGCGUUAAGUCACAGUUUACAGACCCGAACCCGGAUGAUCUAACCAUGGCCAGUGUGAAGCUUAGGUAACACUAAGUAGAGGUACGAACCGACUGUUGUUGAAAAAACAGCGGAUGAGUUGUGGUUAGGGGUGAAAUUCCAAUCGAAUCCGGAGCUAGCUGGAUCUCCCCGAAAUGCGUUGAGGCGCAGCGACUAAUGUUUCUUCUUAGGGGUAAAGCUACUGUUUUGGUGCGGGCUGCGAGAGCGGUACCAAAUCAAUGCAAACUCUGAAUACUAAGACGUUUAAUUAGUUAGUGAGAUAUUGGGGGAUAAGCUUCAAUAUCAAGAGGGAAACAGCCCAGAUUAUCAGUUAAGGCCCCUAAAUAAUUACUAAGUGGCAAAGGAGGUGGGAGUGCAUAGACAAUCAGGAGGUUUGCUUAGAAGCAGCAAUCCUUUAAAGAGUGCGUAAUAGCUCACUGUUCGAGUGCUCCUGCGCCGAAAAUGAAUGGGACUAAGUAAUUUGCCGAAGCUGUAAGAUGUUUUAACAUCGGUAGGGGAGCGUUCUACAUUAGAUUGAAGCGUUAGCGAAAGCGGGCGUGGACAAAGUAGAAGUGAGAAUGUUAGCUUGAGUAGCGAAAACAUUGGUGAGAAUCCAAUGCCCCGAAAACCCAAGGGUUCCUCCGGAAGGCUCGUCCGCGGAGGGUGAGUCAGGUCCUAAGGUGAGGCUAGUAGCGUAAUCGAUGGAUAACAGGUUAAUAUUCCUGUACUGUUUAUUGUUGGUAAAGGGGGACGGAGAAGGCUAAAUCGACCGAAUGUUGGUUAUCGGCUUAAGUACUCGAGGUAAUGAGAAUUGGUGAAAACAAUUUGAGCUGAGAUACGAAUAGGAAAGUGUUAAGACACUGAACCGAUUGAUGUCAUACUUCCAAGAAAAGCCCUAUCUACCAUAAACAAUAAAUACCUGUACCCGAAACCGACACAGGUGGGUAAGUAGAGAAUACUAAGGGGCGCGAGAUAACUCUCUCUAAGGAACUCGGCAAAAUGGCCUCGUAACUUCGGGAGAAGAGGUGCCUUUAAAAAGGCUGCAAUAACCAGACGCUGGCGACUGUUUAUCAAAAACACAAGUCUCCGCAAAGUCGUAAGACGAUAUAUGGGGGCUGACACCUGCCCAGUGCCGGAAGGUUAAGGAAGCUUGUUAGUCUUUGACGAAGCUCGCGACCGAAGCCCCGGUGAACGGCGGCCGUAACAAUAACGGUCCUAAGGUAGCGAAAUUCCUUGUCGGGUAAGUUCCGACCUGCACGAAUGGCGUAACGACUUCCCCACUGUCUCCAGCAUCGACUCAGCGAAAUUGAAUUGCCCGUGAAGAUGCGGGCUACCCGCGGUUAGACGGAAAGACCCCGUGCACCUUUACUACAGCUUUACAUUGGCAUUAGUGACGACAUGUGUAGGAUAGGUGGUAGACUUUGAAGCCCGGGCGCUAGCUCGAGUGGAGUCACCCUUGAAAUACCACCCUUGUCCUUAUUGAUGUCUAACCACGGCGCUACAACGCCUGGGACAAUGUAUGGUGGGUAGUUUGACUGGGGCGGUCGCCUCCCAAAGAGUAACGGAGGCGCGCGAUGGUAGGCUCAGGCUGGUCGGAAACCAGCUGUAGAGUGCAAUGGCAUAAGCCUGCCUGACUGCGAGACUGACAAGUCGAGCAGAGACGAAAGUCGGUCAUAGUGAUCCGGUGGUCCCGCGUGGAAGGGCCAUCGCUCAACGGAUAAAAGGUACGCCGGGGAUAACAGGCUGAUCUCCCCCAAGAGCUCAUAUCGACGGGGAGGUUUGGCACCUCGAUGUCGGCUCGUCGCAUCCUGGGGCGGUAGUACGUCCCAAGGGUUGGGCUGUUCGCCCAUUAAAGUGGCACGCGAGCUGGGUUCAGAACGUCGUGAGACAGUUCGGUCCCUAUCUGCCGUGGGUGUAGGAGAAUUGAGUGGAGUUGCCCCUAGUACGAGAGGACCGGGGU
rnacentral:rRNA from 1 species